CGGUAGGUGCCGCUGUGGUGGGAAGGUAAAUGGCGUUUCCAGGCAUUCUGGAUUUUGUCAUGGUGUCCUGUUACGCCAGAAGCGGUUUAGUCAUACUGGUCACAUGACCCGGAAAGCUGUCUGUGAACAAACACCGGCUCCUUUGGCCUGAAAGCAAGAUGAAUGCUGCAACCCCAUAGUCGCCUUUGACUGGACUUAACCAUCCAGGGUCCUUUACCUUUAUCUUUUUUACUGUCCGCAAUAACUAUGUUCUACAGCUACUAUCAGAGCAACUGCUUCCUGGGAACCACAAGCAGGGAGAAUGUGGAUGCACUCAUGUUCCCUCUCUGGGAUGCCCAUAGGCACCUGGUGGGUCACUGUGAGAACAGGAUGCUGGGCCACAUGGAUCUAGCAUGGAUCUUCUUACGUUAUUAAGUAAAAAUGUACAAUAUGUCACACUGUUGCCACUCUAUGAUUGCAGCCAUAGUCAAAGUAACUGUUUUACAGAAGGCAUUCUAGUAUGACCCACAAAAAAUAAAGUAAUUGUGCAUUAUUUUAUGUUGUUUAGUGAAUCAGCCUGCAAGCUCCACUGCUGGGCAGUAUUUAAAUCUUUUAAAUUAAGAAGAGUGGCAGAUUAAACUGAUUUACUAUGCCAAGUUGGCGAAAUUAACUGGGAAAAUUUGGAACCAGCAAGACCAGACUUUCCUGAAAGACUGGAAGAAAUUUAUGAUAUAUUUGAAAGACAAUUUUAAUCAACUGACAUCACUUGUAGGGUUGCAAGAAGUUUUGUAAGGAGAACCAUAUGAAUUAUUGCAAAAGAGGACUAAGAAGGAGUUUAUUUAGGAUAUGGAUUUUAUAGCAAUAACUAUUAAAAUAAAAUGCAAAAUCAGAAAGAAAGUUAGAAUACCAUUAGUCGAGGUUGAUGGAAGUCUCUGGCUGUGAUAGCCAAACGUUUGUUAUGUUGUACAGGAUGAGAUGUUAUGUUUGGAAAAAAACCAAUAAAAAUUAUAUUAAAAAAAAUCUUUUAAAUUAACAAAAUAAGAUACUUUUACAUUCUUCUGUUUUCAGUGGAAGAGAAGCUGAACGUAUGAGCAUUUCUUUAAAGUCUUGCAGAAUAGAUGUCUAUAUGGUUUUGCCUUCAAUCUCUUCUUUGAAAUGUGAAUUCCUGUUUCAGAAAGCCUGUAACUUUUCAGUAUAGCAUUGGGGACAAGAGUUCAGCAUUCUUUUUAAAGAGUUUAGUUUCUACAACUGUUCAUGUCCGGAUAUCCUACAGCUAUAAAUAUUUAGUUGUGGAAAGUAGGCUUCCCAUUUUGGUAUUGUGUAUUUGAUGCACAGCUGAGAGGUAUUGGAACG
rnacentral:lncRNA from 1 species